rnacentral:misc_RNA from 1 species
AGACAGAUGUGUCUGCUCUAUGAUACAGAGAAAGAGAAAGGAAAUUUUAACUGCGCUAGCAAUCCUAUUCUUCGCGUCUAACCUCUGCCAAGCAUUGUAUGGACCAUCAUCUCCUGUAGUCCAGCUAAAUCCCUCCAACUUUGAGUCCAAGAUUAAUUAAGGGUUAAGGUCUCUAAUGGACAAGGUAGUGGAGGCGGUGGAGAAGGUGAAGAAGGAAUGGGACGAAGCAUACGCUAAAACGCGAGAACAUAUUAAGGCAAUUGAGGAAUAUGGCAAAUCAAGACGAGGAGAAGUAGCAACUACCCAGGAGAAGAAUUCUCUUCCCAGAUUGAAUGGUUUGGCACAAGAUGGUCUCGCUUUGAUCCAAUCUUUGCAAUUUAAGCUUGAUCUUCUUGCCCCUCAAUUGCCUACUGAUGAUAAAGUGAAAUCAGCACAAGCCUUGCUAGAAUCAUGGAAGAACCAAUGCCAAAAUAUGCGGUUGAGUUUAAGAAAUGCUAAUUUGCAAGCGAAGGCAAACAUGAGGAAAGCUGCUCAGGAAGAGAGAGAACUUCUAUUGGGUGGUGGAGAAGAGUCCACAAUUCGAAGACGCAAUUUGCAAACAAAGGCUGGGAUGACAUCUGCUGCAGAAAGCAUCACUGAAAGCCUUCGGCGUACUCGUCAGCUAAUGGUUCAGGAGGUUGAAAGAAGUGCUAGCACUCUCAUGACUUUUGAGGAAUCAACGGGGGUAUUAAGGAAGGCUGAAAGUGAAUAUAAGGGCCAUCGCUCAUUAUUGAUGCGGACCCGAAAUCUUCUUUCCACAAUGCAACGUCAGGAUGUUCUUGACAGAGUGAUACUUGCUUUAGGAUUUUUCUUGUUCUCUUGUGCUGUUCUUUAUGUGGUUUCAAAGCGCAUCGGGCUGCUUAAGUUGCAGAGAACUGUCACUGCUGCCAUAAAGGCUGGUAUGGAUCGACGAGGUGAAAUCAGACCAAGAGGUGUUGAAGAUGGGGUGGAUAUUGCUCAGGUUUAUGAAAAUGUCGUUCACAAGGGUGAGGUACCAUUGGAUCAGCCUAUGCAUGACGAACUUUAAGAUUGUAGUUUUCCUUCUUAGAAAGGAAGGAUUGUAUUCUCUGCUACGGGCU